rnacentral:tRNA from 1 species
CUACCUGUAGUCUAAUGGAUAGAAUGAUGCCCUCCGACGGCAUUGAUCCGAGUUCGACUCUCGGCAGGUAGACCA